GCACUGCAACAUCCAACCAGCUAAAGAAGGCAGGAGUGGAAGAGAGGAGGGAGAUUUGCCCAUCCUCAAGAGCUCUGGGAGGUAAGCCUGCGAUCCCAAAACAUACAAGGAGGUGUCCUUCCAGGUCUUGCUUGGAGAAAAGGCAAGAAAACCAAGAGAAACCUGCAGACCUCAGACCAGACCUACUGCAUGAAAGUCCAGCGCAUUUUGGGAGAGCAUCGAGUUGGUGCAGAGAGGGAUUUCCCGACGAGAGGGCAUGAGAGCCGCGUGCCCUCCCGCUGCCCCUCUCCAUCCCUGCCUGGACAGAUGGAAGGCAGCAGCUUUUUAAUUAUUAAAAUUAGUGCAGCGUUGAAAACACGUAGCAUGCUUUUGGCUCUGCAAAUCAUUGCUUUUGUGAGAGAGGAGCAGUAAUAAAAUUAACCAACA